UUAAAUGAAUUGACGGGGCCCGCACAAGCGGUGGAGCAUGUGGUUUAAUUCGAAGCAACGCGAAGAACCUUACCAGGUCUUGACAUCCCCUGACCAACCGAGAGAUCGGGCGUUCCCCUUCGGGGGGACAGGGUGACAGGUGGUGCAUGGUUGUCGUCAGCUCGUGUCGUGAGAUGUUGGGUUAAGUCCCGCAACGAGCGCAACCCUCGACCUUAGUUGCCAGCAUUCAGUUGGGCACUCUAAGGUGACUGCCGGCUAAAAGUCGGAGGAAGGUGGGGAUGACGUCAAAUCAUCAUGCCCCUUAUGACCUGGGCUACACACGUGCUACAAUGGGCGGUACAAAGGGUCGCGAACCCGCGAGGGGGAGCCAAUCCCAAAAAGCCGCUCUCAGUUCGGAUUGCAGGCUGCAACUCGCCUGCAUGAAGCCGGAAUCGCUAGUAAUCGCGGAUCAGCACGCCGCGGUGAAUACGUUCCCGGGCCUU
rnacentral:rRNA from 1 species